rnacentral:ribozyme from 1 species
GAAAAAAAGGGCGGAUAUCGAGAAAGGGAAGAAGAGAAAGAGGGGACACAUUUUUUAUUCAAACAAAAGUUUUCAUUUAUCCUUUUUACUUUUUCA